rnacentral:rRNA from 1 species
UAAUACGGAGGGAGCAAGCGUUACUCGGAAUUAUUGGGCGUAAAGGGCGCGUAGGCGAUCUGCCAAGUCCUGUGUGAAAGCCCAGAGCCUAACUCUGGAAGUGCACAGGAGACUGGCUGGAUUUGAGUUCAGGAGAGGAAGGCAGAAUUCCCGGUGUAGCGGUGAAAUGCGUAGAGAUCGGGAGGAAUACCAGUGGCGAAGGCGGCCUUCUGGACUGACACUGACGCUGAGGCGCGAAAGCCAGGGGAGCAAACGGGAUUAGAUACCCCGGUAGUCCUGGCUGUAAACGAUGUGCACUUGGUGUGAGCCGGUUUUCGGUUCGUGCCGAAGUUAACGCAAUAAGUGCACCGCCUGGGGAGUACGGUCGCAAGGCUG